GCUAAAAGAGAAAGAAGGAGCAAGAAAAGAAAUGAUCCGGUGAAGCCGGUGCACAUUAGCGGCAUAACUACAGGUUUGAUGUUGAUUGGGUUGCUGAUGAUGAUGAUGAUUUUGAACCCCCGAUUCAGGCGAUUAUGACAAAGCAACCUCAUAAAUCAAAGGUUAAUAAAAAGCAUACAAACUAUAGUCUAGAAGAUGAUGAUGAUGACUUUGAAGAACCUAUUAGAAAUUUGAUAGUCAAAAGAGGUGAAAACACAAGAAAAAGGCCAAGUACUACAACUAACCAAGAUGGUGAAGACUUUGAACCAGUAAAAAAGAAACAAUCGAAAAACGAAAAGCAGAUGGAUCCUAUCGAGGGGAAACGGAAGAUUACCGAUGCAGAACCUUUUAGGUCAGAACCAAGACCGUUCUAUCAUUAUCAUCAUGAUGUAAUAAGCCUACGGUGCAGUCCUUCAGGUUUUUUGGAUACAGUUAAGCACUUUACUGAAGCGCAGGUGGCGGAUGUGAAAAGCAUUGGAUUUGGUGAUGUCCUUAAUAUAAAGCUUUAUCAUAUAAGCACACGUUUAGGGUAUUG
rnacentral:lncRNA from 1 species